GCGUCGUUUGGGGGAGGUUUUGAUGUGUGAGAAAGCAGAUAAAGGCGGGUUUAGUGCAUGCAUAUAUGUUUUCUCUUGCUCUUGGCUGCCAAGUAUUUAUUUUUUAUUUUUUAAGAGUUCUCCAGAGGGACUCAAUGCAGCAACUAUUCGCCGUGCUCGAGGCCUUUUAAAUACCUCAGACUCAGUGUCUGGACCCGGGACACACUUGUUGCUAGUUCUGUCCAGUUCUGCACUCCACUGGUACUGAUUUACUGAGCCUUGGCCUUCUUGCAAUCCCGCACUCACAAAAGAGGUGUGAUCUGUUAUCCCCACAGUCGCCACCGAUGAUACUGGAGCAACGAGAGCAAGACUGCAUGGAGCCAAGGAGACGAGCAUCGAUCCUGGCAAUUUUUCCCCUUGGACACCCUGAUUCCUGAUGAGCACAGCAUGGGUGACAUUCGAGUGAAAGUGUUUACAGGUUCCUAUAUCUCAGAUCACAACAGCGCCAAGCAGAGGAGCAGCCAACAAGAAGCAGGUCCAACAACAUGCCUCUCAGCACGAGCGGGAAGUCUAAUUUUCACAUCUGCUCAUUGCUUAGCAGCCAGUGGUCCCCAUUGAAAUGAUAUGGAAAAGAGCAGCGUGAACAUCCUGCCCAACAUCUCCUUUUGUUUGAUGGCGAACAGAAAGUCAAAGGGGUUUGGACUGACAUGAAGCCAUCAAUAGGAGGGAAGAAGGAUCAGCAGGACCCUUGAAGGUGGCCACUGUCAGACAGGUUUAUGGAUGGUGUAGUUCUUCACCAGAACUUCGGCUUUUACACACCACCUCAGGAGCUUAUGCUGAGUCUGUAUUGAAAGGAUUCUGAUAUUUCAUCCAAAAAAGAGCCUACGCAAUCGCACUGAAACCUGAUCCGGGACUCGCAUGAGCCGGGAUUAACAAAAAAUAUUUCAUCUCUGCCUUCUUCCCAGCACCUUGGCCCCUCUUGCUGAUCUUAUCUCCCAAUUACUGCCCUGCAAACAUUCCUGCACUCCAAACAGACUGCGAACGUGGAACGCUGGAGUCCAAGAUCACCUGUUCUUUUCUAGACAUGCAUCUACUUCCUGUUCUGAAGCAACAGUAAGCAGGUAUGUCAUUCAUUCAAACUGGCCUUUAUACAGAAAAUGUUUUGAGAAAAAAACGGUUUACCUGUAAUAACUUUCACUGGUAGAAAAUAACAAUUCCAAAAUCACUGUUUCCACAAAAAUAUGGAGCAGCACAAGUUUUCAAUAAGUUUUUUGAUUAGCA